GAAUGUUGUUGUUAGUGUUUGGCGGCGAGAGCGAGCGAGAGCCAAGCCAGCUGCAAAGAUGGAGGAGAAGAGGAAAAGGAGGAGGCGGUGGAGGCUGUGGUUAUGAAGGGCUGCCUUGGUGCCAGGGACGGCUGCUUAUAGGUUUCCCUCUUCCCUUUCUUCCCCUUCAUUCCUUUCUCUGCGGUGGGGAGGAGGAAGGCAUCUGGGCCCUUUGAUUUUGCAAGCUUGACAUCUUGCAGGAACAUCUGCAAAGGGGGAGAAACACAGCAGCAGAAGGAGAAAGGGAAGAAGGAGAAAGAGAAGGAGGAGAGGAAGAAGAAGAAGAAGGAGGAGGAGGAAAAGGAACGCGCCAUUUUCUCUCAUUCCCUGGCAGGAUUCCGUAGAAGAACUUUGCCCCUUUGUCAUAAGGGAUGUUCCAUCAGUGUUGGCAGGACGGCAUUUGACCAUCUUCACUGUCAACCCCUUAAUCCUUAUGUGAACGCUGCUGUAGUCCUAGCUCUGCAAACAGCUGCCUUUUCCUUGCUGAUUGUUCAUUGAAGGGCAAUAUGAACUCCACAAAUGAAUCAGUCAUCCCCAGUAUCU